CUCAACUUAACCCUUUAGUCCCCCCGGAAUACGGCCCCCAAGGCAAAACUCCAAUGAAUUUGCCGCCCCCCCAACCGGGGAACCUGUGGUUUUAUUCCAAACCACCCCAAAAACCUUUCCUGGCCCUGGACUGCCUCUGACUUUCCUAAAAUGGAUUGUUCUCUUUCGGAACUCAAACACCAGGGCUGGCUGGCUGUCCUCCACUCCUGGCCUGGAAAUGUGGGGUUAAUCCCCGCACCAACGCCACCCCUGGAUCUUAUUUGCCAUCCGUAAUGGGGGGCACUCUAAGUGACACUGCCGUGUGACAAACCGAAGAAAGUGUGGGAAUGACGUCAAUCAUCCUGCCCCCUAUGACCUGGGGUUACACACUGGCUACAUGGAUCGGUACAAAAGGUUGCCAACCCCCAGGGGGAACUAAUCCCAUUAAAACCUUCUCUAUUCCGAAUGUCAGCUGGCACUUCCCUAGCUGAAACUCGAAAUCCUUAUAAAUCCUGAAUCACAAUGUCCCGGUAAAUACUUUCCCGGGCUUUGUAAAACCGCCCGUCACCCCUGGAAUUGGUUUGCUCCAAAAUUAGCUAGUCUAACUUUUUGGAGCACGCCUACUACGGAGUGAUUCAUGACUGGGGUGAG
rnacentral:rRNA from 1 species